UCCCCAUUAACUGAGGCAGUUUCCUGUGAAAAAUACAACACAGGAUGCGGGUUGCGCUCGUUGACCGACUGAACGGGACACUUCACAGCACGAGCUGACGACAACCGUGCAACACCUGUCACCGAGUUCCUUACGGCACGGUCCUGUUUCCAGGACUUUCUCGGGAUGUCAAACCUUGGUGAGGUUCUUCGCUUAGUAUCGAAUUAAACCACACGCUCCACCACUUGUGCAGGUCCCCGUCAAUUCCUUUGAGUUUUAAACUUGCGUUCGUACUCCCCAGGCGGCUGACUUAACGCGUUAGCUACGGUCCAAAAGGGGGUCGAUACCCUCCAAGACCUAGUCAGCAUCGUUUACGGCGUGGACUA
rnacentral:misc_RNA from 1 species